rnacentral:lncRNA from 1 species
AAAUUAUCAAGCUAUUGUUAGGUUUUCGAUGGGUUUCUUGUUUUUCCAUAUAACUAACGAAUGUUUUUUUUUUUUUUGCUAAAGAUAACUAACGAAUGUUUCCAUGACCAAGAACGCAUAUAUCAAAAUGCAAAACAUACACAAGAGUAUCAAACGUUUUCUUUAACUUUGUAAGAAAAGAUUUGAUUUGACACGGUUAGAUCAUACCAUUCUUAUUUUCAAUACGAUGUCAAAUAAACUUUUUUGAACAACAACGUUUAAUACUAUGCUUUAUAGGAUUGAUUUUCAAGAAAGGUAUAAUUGCUCAUUGACACACGUUUGACGUCUUAUAUGAACGUAGCCAUCGCGGAUCAUAGUGAUGAUGAUGACGAUGGGGUCAAUGAUAACAGUGUUCUCCACUUGAAAAUGUCGCCGGAAAUUACUCCUAUUAUUAGUUCCUUCCAUUCCUCCUCUCAAGUCUUCAAACAAGUCACCAUGUUUACAAAUCAUAUGUUAAUUGUUCAUAAGAAUCUUAAUAAAUGGCAUUUUCAUAAUUAAUUCUUACAAACCUUAGUAAAUCAAUGUAUAACAAAAAGAGAAAAUACAAAAAAAAACAAGAAUUUGCUCGUAAUGGUCGC